AGUGAACGCUGGCGGUAGGCCUAACACAUGCAAGUCGAACGGCAGCACAGUAAGAGUUUGCUCUUACGGGUGGCGAGUGGCGGACGGGUGAGGAAUACAUCGGAAUCUACUUUUUCGUGGGGGAUAACGUAGGGAAACUUACGCUAAUACCGCAUACGACCUACGGGUGAAAGCAGGGGAUAUUCGGACCUUGCGCGAUUGAAUGAGCCGAUGUCGGAUUAGCUAGUUGGCGGGGUAAAGGCCCACCAAGGCGACGAUCCGUAGCUGAUCUGAGAGGAUGAUCAGCCACACUGGAACUGAGACACGGUCCAGACUCCUACGGGAGGCAGCAGUGGGGAAUAUUGGACAAUGGGCGCAAGCCUGAUCCAGCCAUACCGCGUGGGUGAAGAAGGCCUUCGGGUUGUAAAGCCCUUUUGUUGGGAAAGAAAAGCAGCAGAUUAAUACCCCGCUGUUCUGACGGUACCCAAAGAGUAAGCACCGGCUAACUUCGUG
rnacentral:rRNA from 1 species